rnacentral:rRNA from 1 species
CGCGCCCUACGGGGGGCAGCAGUGGGGAAUAUUGCACAAUGGGCGGAACCCUGAUCCAGCAAUGCCGCGUGAAGGAUGAAGGCUUUCGGGUUGUAAACUUCUUUUGUCAGGGACGAAACAAAUGACGGUACCGUACGAAUAAGCCACGGCUAACUACGUGCCAGCAGCCGCGGUAAUACGUAGGUGGCAAGCGUUAUCCGGAUUUACUGGGUGUAAAGGGCGUGUAGGCGGGAGUGCAAGUCAGAUGUGAAA